AGAAGAAAAGAAAAGAACCCCCUUUCAUCAUAACACGUGUGUUCAUGCUGAGAGAUGCUGUGUGCUUUGUCUGUUUGUGUAAAGAAGUUAUCUUUUGGGAAGUGCUAUGGCUUGAACGUGUCCCCUCCAAAAUUCAUCCUGAAACAUAAUUCUGAUUGUGGUUGUAUUAAGACUCAGGGGUUUUUGGAUGUGAGAUGUGAUUGAGUCAUGAGGGCUUCCCCAUCAAGAAUAGAUUCAUGCCUUAAAAGGGCUGGAAGGAACUAGCUUAGGCCCUUUUGCCUCCCGUCCAUUCCAUUAUGUGAGGACACAGUGUUUGUCUGCUCCCGAGGCUGCAGCAACAAGGCGCCAUCUUGGAAGUGGAGACUGGACCUUCAGCAGACACUGAAUAUGCUGGCACCUUGAUCUCAAACUUCCCAGCCUCCAGGACUAUGAGAGGGUUGUUAGCGAUCGAUAUUGGACCUGAGAAGACAUCACAAGCAACCACAGUCCUGAUUCCGGUGCCAAACCUGAGCAGACCCAGCACUCCGCACAGAACGUCCCUGUUUCAAACUGGUGCCCAACAGGCCUCUCCUCAGUAGUGUGGCCAGGUUAGGGCACCAAAGGGGGUAAACUGUGACAAUGUGGCAGCUCAUUCCCCACGUGCAGAUGAAGAAAAAGCAACAAAGAGCAUCUAGUCCAUUGAAUGCCUGGUAAAAAGGCAUCGUCUUCCUCAUCAACAUGGAUGGAGCAUUCCUGUCAUGCCCACAGAAAUGAAAGGCAAAUAGCCUGACUCUGAAUCAAUGCUUAGUUCUUCCCUGGCUCUGUGACUGCAUCGACGUAUGGUCUUCCAUGGAGAAGUGUGCAUCCCUAUAGAUGCCCCACCCAUUUCAUACAUCCGUUAGGAAUGUGACAUGUGCAGAGGUAAGCGAGAGUGCUUCUUAUGCUCUAAACCUGUGAACCACCACAUGGAUGUGUUACUGUGUGGUGUAAAGAAUAACAAAAAAUAUUAGAUAUACUGUUUUUAACAACUGAAGGUGCUACUAUUAGGUAUCUUACUAAUUGUAUUCAUAGUAAGAAUAAUGAGCAACUUGAUCUUUCUACUUUGAGAAGAAUGCUUAA